GAGUUUGAUCCUGGCUCAGGAUGAACGCUAGCGGCAGGCUUAACACAUGCAAGUCGAGGGGUAACGGGGAAGCUUGCUUCCGCCGACGACCGGCGCACGGGUGCGUAACGCGUAUACAAUCUACCUUGUACUGGGGUAUAGCCUUUAGAAAUGAAGAUUAAUCCCCCAUAGUCUCUUAGAGUGGCAUCACUUCUAGAGUAAAGGUUACGGUAUAAGAUGAGUAUGCGUUCUAUUAGUUUGUUGGUGUGGUAACGGCACACCAAGACUACGAUAGAUAGGGGCCCUGAGAGGGGGACCCCCCACACUGGUACUGAGACACGGACCAGACUCCUACGGGAGGCAGCAGUGAGGAAUAUUGGACAAUGGAGGCAACUCUGAUCCAGCCAUGCCGCGUGCAGGAAGACUGCCCUAUGGGUUGUAAACUGCUUUUAUACAGGAAGAAACACCUCUACGUGUAGAGGCUUGACGGUACUGUAAGAAUAAGGAUCGGCUAACUCCGUGCCAGCAGCCGCGGUAAUACGGAGGAUCCAAGCGUUAUCCGGAAUCAUUGGGUUUAAAGGGUCCGUAGGUGGAUAACUAAGUCAGAGGUGAAAUCUUGCAGCUCAACUGUAAAAUUGCCUUUGAAACUGGUUAUCUUGAGUUAUUAUGAAGUAGUUAGAAUAUGUAGUGUAGCGGUGAAAUGCAUAGAUAUUACAUAGAAUACCAAUUGCGAAGGCAGAUACUAAUAAUUAACUGACACUGAUGGACGAAAGCGUGGGUAGCGAACAGGAUUAGAUACCCUGGUAGUCCACGCCGUAAACGAUGGUUACUAGCUGUUUGGACUUCGGUCUGAGUGGCUAAGCGAAAGUGAUAAGUAACCCACCUGGGGAGUACGUUCGCAAGAAUGAAACUCAAAGGAAUUGACGGGGGCCCGCACAAGCGGUGGAGCAUGUGGUUUAAUUCGAUGAUACGCGAGGAACCUUACCAGGGCUUAAAUGUAAGUUGCAUUAGCUAGAGAUAGCUAUUUCUUCGGACCACUUACAAGGUGCUGCAUGGUUGUCGUCAGCUCGUGCCGUGAGGUGUCAGGUUAAGUCCUAUAACGAGCGCAACCCCUGUUGUUAGUUGCCAGCGAGUCAUGUCGGGAACUCUAACAAGACUGCCAGUGCAAACUGUGAGGAAGGUGGGGAUGACGUCAAAUCAUCACGGCCCUUACGUCCUGGGCUACACACGUGCUACAAUGGUAGGUACAGAGAGCAGCCACUGCGCGAGCAGGAGCGAAUCUAUAAAACCUAUCACAGUUCGGAUCGGAGUCCGCAACUCGACUCCGUGAAGCUGGAAUCGCUAGUAAUCGGAUAUCAGCCAUGAUCCGGUGAAUACGUUCCCGGGCCUUGUACACACCGCCCGUC
rnacentral:rRNA from 1 species